rnacentral:rRNA from 1 species
AGAGUUUGAUCAUGGCUCAGGAUGAACGCUAGCUACAGGCUUAACACAUGCAAGUCGAGGGGCAGCGCGCUGGUGCAGCAAUGCAUUGGUGGCGGCGACCGGCGGAUGGGUGAGUAACGCGUAUCCAACCUGCCCCCGGCCCGGGCACAGCCCAUGGAAACGUGGAUUAACGCCCGAUGCGCCUAAGAGCCGCAUGGCUUUUAGGUGAAACAGGCAGGGGAUGGGGAUGCGUCCCAUUAGGCAGCAGGCGGGGUAACGGCUCACCAUAGCCGACGAUAGCUAGUGGGUCUGAGAGGAAUGACCACCCACACUGGAAGUGGAGACACGGUCCAGACUCCUACGGGAGGCAGCAGUGGGGGAAUAUUGCACAAUGGGCGCAAGCCUGAUGCAGCCCAUGCCGCGUGUAUGAAGAAGGCCUUCGUGUUGUAAAGUACUUUCAGCGGGGAGGAAGGGAGUAAAGUUAAUACCUUUGGUCAUUGACGUUACCCGCAGAAGAAGCACCGGCUAACUCCGUGCCAGCAGCCGCGGUAAUACGGAGGGUGCAAGCGUUAAUCGGAAUUACUGGGCGUAAAGCGCACGCAGGCGGUUUGUUAAGUCAGAUGUGAAAUCCCCGGGCUCAACCUGGGAACUGCAUCUGAUACUGGCAAGCUUGAGUCUCGUAGAGGGGGGUAGAAUUCCAGGUGUAGCGGUGAAAUGCGUAGAGAUCUGGAGGAAUACCGGUGGCGAAGGCGGCCCCCUGGACGAAGACUGACGCUCAGUGCGAAAGCGUGGGGAGCAAACAGGAUUAGAUACCCUGGUAGUCCACGCCGUAAACGAUGUCGACUUGGAGGUUGUGCCCUUGAGGCGUGGCUUCCGGAGCUAACGCGUUAAGUCGACCGCCUGGGGAGUACGGCCGCAAGGUUAAAACUCAAAUGAAUUGACGGGGGCCCGCACAAGCGGAGGAACAUGUGGUUUAAUUCGAUGAUACGCGAGGAACCUUACCUGGGCUUGACAUGCCACGCGCAGAGUCAGAGCUGGAGACGGCUGCCGUCGGAACCUAUCGGGGCGCGGGUGUAGGUGCUGCAUGGUUGUCGUCAGCUCGUGCCGUGAGGUGUCGGCUCAAGUGCCAUAACGAGCGCAACCCCUCUCUCCAGUUGCCAUCGGGCAAUGCCGGGAACUCUGGAGACACUACCAUCGCAAGAUGUGAGGAAGGCGGGGACGACGUCAAAUCAGCACGGCCCUUACGUCCGGGGCUACACACGUGUUACAAUGGGGGGCACAGCGAGUUGGGCGCCGGCGACGGUGUCCGGAUCAAGAAAUCCCCUCCCAGUUCGGACUGGAGCCUGCAACCCGGCUCCACGAAGCUGGAUUCGCUAGUAAUCGCGCAUCAGCCAUGGCGCGGUGAAUACGUUCCCGGGCCUUGUACACACCGCCCGUCAAGCCAUGAAAGUCGGGGGCGCCUGAAGUCCGUUGCCGCGAGGCUCGGCCUAGGGCGAUACCGGUGAUUGGGGCUAAGUCGUAACAAGUAACCGUAAAUCGAAUUCCCGCGCCGCCAUGCGCCGGAGCAUCGACUCGCCA